rnacentral:lncRNA from 1 species
AACUCAGUUUUAAAAGAAAUAUCAGAUUGUUAGUGGAUGGAAUAAUGCGAGGUUCGUGAUAACAGAAUUAGUGAGAGAAAUGACAAUUAAGUGGUAAAGAUGCCUGUGUGUGACGAUUACAAUCGAAACGAACACGAUGAUCUUUUCUGGAUAUUCUAUAUAUUCUUUUAUCCUCAGAAAUAUGUGUAUAAUUGUUCAGUUUUGAUAAAGUUCUUAUGUUGUGAGAAUGUUAGCUAACUAUGAUGUUAGACGAAAGUCUUGUUGGUCUAGUUGGUUUAUGACCGGUUAUUGUUCUGUUUUGCAUGCAUAUUUAGAAAGUGUAUUGUUUUGCUACGAUGAAAUUCCAGAGCUAAAAUGUGGUGAUUCAGGUGAUUUGCAUGCUAAA